GAGCCAGGCUGCAAGGGCGGCCCCUCUGCACCCACUGCCCCCAGCAUAAACAUCAAAGAAUCCCUGAAAAGUCAGGAGGAGCCAGGCUGCAAGGGCAGCCUCUCUGCAUCCACUGCCCCCAGCAUGAACAUUGAAGAAUUCCUGAAAAGUCAGGAAGAGCCAGGCUGCAAGGGCGGCCCCUCUGCACCCACUGCCCCUAGCAUAAACAUCGAAGAAUUCCUGAAAAGUCAGGAAUAUCUCUGUCAUCUGUGUUAUGUUUCUAUUUCAUUUUCAGCCUGUGUAUAGCAGAAUGUAUAAGCAUAAAAUUCCAUUAUAGAUUUAGGGACCUUUGGACGGGGGGCGUCCUACUCAUAAUCCCCUGGUGAAAUCUCGGGUAGGGACAGCCCGUGUGUUACUUGGGGAUCAACAUGAAGUUGUCUUAGGGGAAAAACAAAUAGCUCGACUAUGGAAAACAAGAAUAGGAUGGUGAAAUCCUGGUAUUUACCGAGGCCCUUUUGUGAUUAAACCACCACCCACACAUGAUCCCAUAAAAGUGGAAAAACAAAAGGCAGUGAGUUCUCUCAGCCAAUUUCUCAGCCAAUUACAGGUCAACCUUCUCGUCUACCCCGCUCACUGCUGUGCUUGACUGGUCUUUGGGUAUAGAGAUUGGGCUAAUUGUCCUUGGCAUAAUCGUGGACAAUAUGACGUAACCCAAAGUGGCUGGACUUCAAGAACUUGACCACCCUGGACAAGAUGGACAAAGCCUAUGUGGCAAUGGUUUUGCAAAAAGAUUAAUUGUUAUAAAAACUGUGGAAGGUAUUGCAAGAUUAAGCAUAAGUGUAAAGCAGUGUGAAGUCAAUUGUUACUCUAAAUCAACUAAACAAAAGCUCAUUGUAUUUGUGUGUGUAUGCGGAACUGUACUAUGUGUCACUUGGAAAAUUAUGUCUCUGGGAAAUAAUGUUUAUGAUUAUAUCUUGUACUGCCCCUUUAUUGAUCAUGCGAUGUUAUGCUUUUGUAAGCUUAUGAUAUAAAAGACCAUGUAAAAAAUAAAGAGCAGAGCCUUCUUCUUCUGCAGAAUGAAAAUAUAAGACACUCUACCGCUCGUUCUUUUUUCGCCGAACUCUACCCCUCCUCUGGUAACCCUGUUCAUUGCUGAGGCUGGCCCCCGGCAACUGGCGCCCGAACAGGGACCUGAAGACAAGGUGCGGUGGAGAAGCCGGAGACAUACUCCCUAUUCAAGAACCCAUCAAACCAUUGUGGCUGAGCCCCCAACUUGGGGCCAACUCAAAAAACUUACUCAUCUGGCUCACACCUUAACCGUGGAUCAACAUAUUCCCGUAAAUGCGGAUACUCUUUUUGUGGCUAUGCUCGCUAUCAUUUCCUGCCAGGUAUGUGUUGUUACGGCUGAUAUACAUUGGGCUUAUGUCCCAAAACCUCCUAUAUUUCAUCCCGUCUCCUGGGAAGAUCCUUCCCCCUCUGUAUUUACUAAUAAUUCUGCAUUACUGGGGGGCGAAACCAUAUUUUGGAACCCUCAAGGCUUUAAUUCUAAUUAUUCCUAUUCUGGUAUAUCAGAUAAUCCUCCUAUUUGUAUUCAAUUAAGAAAUUUGCGAAAAACUAUCCCUGGCUGUAUUCCUUUUGGCUUCAAAUCAAUGAUUACUGACUCACCUAAUGGAAAUCAAAACCAACAGCCUUACAGACUAUUAUGGGCUCUACGCCUCAUCCUUCCAGAAAAAACUGACUUUCUUAAAGGUAUCCCAAAAGUACACACUCCUCUUUUUCCUACCUGUGAUAAGUCGCCUCCUGAGGAUUCUAAGAGUAAUCAAGAUUGGGCUAUGAUUGACCCUUCAAAAGGAUUUCCUAUUUGGAGAAAUUGUAUGUAUAAUUCACAAGUUGUAUAUGCUUUGCCUAAAAUGUCUGCACGUCUUAUUGAUUGUAGUAUUUUAAAUCCUGAAGAUGAUUAUCGUCUAUUUUUACAAUCAGCUCGAUAUCGUUUUAAUUGGCAAGAUACCUUAGUCCCUCUCCCACAAAAAGUUAAUCGUUGGCAUAUAAAUGGAUGGGUUCCCCCUAUUCUUUCUACCUUCACGGGUAACAUACAUCCAUCUUUGUGGAGACUGGCAACUGCUGCCGGCAAUGUCACUUUGUCCCGUCCUUUUAAUAAUGAGAGUUUUGAUAUUCAAGCUUGUGUACCUGCUCCAUAUGUGUUAUUAAUUAGCCGCAACAAUCACUCUAGUAUUGUUAUAGAAAACAAGAAAACACAUUAUGUUAGUUCUUGUGAAAAUUGUAUACUGACCAGUUGUAUAAAUCCUGCAGUUCCUGUCGAAAGUAUGAUGAUUUUACAACAGCCAAAAUAUAUUAUGAUUCCUGUACAUUUACAAGAAGAUUGGUAUGAUGAUUCAGGCCUAGAAGCCUUAAAACAAGCUUCUGCUAUUUUAUCUCGAGCCAAACGGUUUGUAGCAGCUUUAAUACUGGGGAUUUCCGCUCUCAUAGCUUUAGCAACUUCUCUUUCACUUUCUGCUAUGGCGUUAACACAACAGAUUCAUACUGCAAACUAUGUAAAUAAUUUAAGUAAAAAUAUUACUCUAGCCUUAGCCACACAAGAAGCCAUUGAUAGAAAAUUACAACAAGAAGUUAAUGCCCUUGAAGAAGCAAUUCUAUAUAUAGGACAAGAAAUCACUAAUCUCAAAGUGCGACUUACUUUGAGAUGCCAUGUAAGUUUCAAAUGGAUUUGUGUUACUCCACUGCCUGUAAAUACUACCAUACAUAAUUGGAAAAAAAUCAAAAAUCAUAUCCAGGGCAUAUGAAAUCAUUCCGAUUUGAGUUUUAAUAUUGACAAAUUACAUAUGGAAAUACAAGAUAUUACAAAAGCAGAAAAAGAUUUUUCCUCUUCUCAAACAGCCAAACAAUUUAUUGAUUCCUUAAAUUCCUUUAUUCAAAAGCAUAGUCUUAAAAACAUUCUGUUAAACACGGGUAUUUCUUUAGGUUUAUUCUUGAUUUUGUUGUUCUUUCUUCCAGUCAUCUUCCGAAUCUUAAAUCAAGCUAUCCAAAAGGUGGCUUCAGAUCUUCAUCUAGCGAAAUUAAAAAAUAAAAAAGGGGGAGAUGCUGGGAGCCAGGCUGCAAGGGCGGCCCCUCUGCACCCACUGCCCCCAGCAUAAACAUCAAAGAAUCCCUGAAAAGUCAGGAGGAGCCAGGCUGCAAGGGCAGCCUCUCUGCAUCCACUGCCCCCAGCAUGAACAUUGAAGAAUUCCUGAAAAGUCAGGAAGAGCCAGGCUGCAAGGGCGGCCCCUCUGCACCCACUGCCCCUAGCAUAAACAUCGAAGAAUUCCUGAAAAGUCAGGAAUAUCUCUGUCAUCUGUGUUAUGUUUCUAUUUCAUUUUCAGCCUGUGUAUAGCAGAAUGUAUAAGCAUAAAAUUCCAUUAUAGAUUUAGGGACCUUUGGACGGGGGGCGUCCUACUCAUAAUCCCCUGGUGAAAUCUCGGGUAGGGACAGCCCGUGUGUUACUUGGGGAUCAACAUGAAGUUGUCUUAGGGGAAAAACAAAUAGCUCGACUAUGGAAAACAAGAAUAGGAUGGUGAAAUCCUGGUAUUUACCGAGGCCCUUUUGUGAUUAAACCACCACC